UGUACGCGUGUAUUUAUAUCUAAUAUCUUUCGUACCUACGGAUUUUUUUAUACAUAGUGUAAAAAUCGAAUGGAAUGGACAUUCUUUAACGAGAAUUGUUAAUGACAGGGAGUCUGGCCUUUCUCGGAAACUAUCGACAGGUCAAGAUAGAUGAGAAGGAUUUUCAUCCAUCAAAUGGACAGGACAUUUUCUACGAUUUUAUGUCAGGCACGUAAUUCGAUUUACUUCAAGAGUUUACAACGCGGCAAGGCGUAAGAUUGGCGUUUCGACACGAAUAAGUCAGUCACCUACAGAGAA